rnacentral:rRNA from 1 species
AAUAGAGGAGAUUUAUUUCUAUGGAGAAAUAUUUUAUAAAAUUUUGUAAUAAAAUUAGUGUUAGUAUUUUGUUUUGUCUAUAAGAUAUUAAUUAUUUUGGUUGUUUGUAGUUAGUUUAAGCAUUUAGUUUUUAAUAAUUAGGUAAUUUAAUUUAAGUUUUAUAUUUUUAGUGAGUAAUAAGGUGCCAGCACUCGCGGUUAUACUUUGUCUGUGAUUUUUUUUUUAAUAAUAGUUUUGAAUUCUUUUUUUUUCAUUCUAGAUAUUUUUUAUAUUAGUAAAAUGAUUUAAAUAAUAAUUUAAUUAGUGUGUUAUUUAGGAUUUGUGAAAAUAAUUUGUGGACAAGGAUUAGAUACCCUUUUACUUUUAUUAAUUUUGCUAGGAUUAUUAGUGUUAGAUGAAAUUUUUUUGGAUUUGGCGGUUGAAUAUCUGAUUAGAGAAAUUUGUAGUUGUUAAUGAUGGUGCACAUUUGUGAAAUUCCAAUAUUGUGAUUCAUUUAAAUAUCAUUAUUUAAAGAAAUUUUAUUUUUGAAUUUUUCUUUUUAUAUUUAGUUUAUUAUUUAUUAAUUAUUUAUAGGUAUCAUAAAUAAGAUUUAGAUUAUAUAUGGUUUACUAUGAAUUGCUUUGGUUAUGUAGGAUUUAAUAGUAAGUUUAUAUAAUUUAGAUAAGUUGAAUUUUAGAUAUAUUUAAUGUACAUAUUGCCCGUCAGUCUUUAGUAUAAGAUAAGUCGUAACAUGGUUAAUGUUUUGGAAGAAGUAUUUG